rnacentral:rRNA from 1 species
GAUUAACGCUGGCGGCGUGCAUGAAACAUGCAAGUCGAGCGCGAUGCGAGUUGCUCGCAUCUAGCGGCGCACGGGUGAGUAACACGUGAGCAACCUACCUCGGAGCCCGGGAUAGCCCUGAGAAAUCAGGAUUAAUACCGGAUGAUGUCGCCGUGGGGCAUCCCAUGGCGAGAAAGGCUUCGGCCACUCCAAGACGGGCUCGCGGCCUAUUAGCUUGUUGGUGGGGUAAUGGCCUACCAAGGCGAAGAUGGGUAGCUGGUCUGAGAGGACGGAUCAGCCACACUGGGACUGAGA